UGUAUUUUUUAGAACUUUAUUUUGCUGCAAAAAUCUGCUAGUAUGAUAAGCCUGCAUAUAACUUAAACUUUUAUGAUAAAUAAGAUUUGAAAAAAUCAUUAAUUGUUGUCAAAGAAAAUAUUUCUCUUCUAAGGAAUAUAUAGCAAAUCAAUUUUUGUACAGGACGACAAUAAUUCAGAAUGAAAACUAAUUAAAUGCAUAUAUGAGUCUCCUCGACAAGUUUGUGUAUGGGUUAUAUGCUACCCAGGUGACCUUUAAGACCAAUUGGCCUCUUGUUUGAUAUAAAUUAAAUUCAAAUACUUUAUACACAAGAAUUUAUUGUUAUCUAUUGAACAACCUUUUGAUAUACAGUUUAUAAUUGAAUAUUUUGAGUGAUAUUGUUACAGAAGCACUUGGUUGACGAUUUUGUAUUUAGGUGCAUUCACUUUGUCUACUUGUUUACUUAUUUCCUCGAUAUAUUUCACGAAAUGAAAAGGGAAUGUUUAUAUUUUAUAUAAGUUUGGCAUGGUAAAUGAAAAACCAAUCAAAAUGUUGAUGUGAGAUUUAAUUUUUUUUUGUCAGGGUUUUUAUCAAAUGUUAAAUAGAAUUUUUUCCCAUAAACUUGGCUGGUCAUCUUUGUAUUAAUUUAUUUUAUUUUUUUCUACUCUUUUAUACUUUGUUCUGUUGUAUUCAUAUUCGAAGUAACGUUUAGAUAAAACAUUUCAAAUU
rnacentral:misc_RNA from 1 species